rnacentral:rRNA from 1 species
GGGGAAUAUUGCACAAUGGGCGAAAGCCUGAUGCAGCAACGCCGCGUGAGUGAUGAAGGUCUUCGGAUUGUAAAGCUCUGUCUUUUGGGACGAUAAUGACGGUACCAAAGGAGGAAGCCACGGCUAACUACGUGCCAGCAGCCGCGGUAAUACGUAGGUGGCGAGCGUUGUCCGGAUUUACUGGGCGUAAAGGGUGCGUAGGCGGAUGUUUAAGUGAGAUGUGAAAUACCCGGGCUUAACUUGGGUGCUGCAUUUCAAACUGGAUAUCUAGAGUGCAGGAGGAGGAGAAUGACUUCUAGUGUAGCGGUGAAA